GCCUCUGUCAAUUCCCACGAUCUAUCGAUGACGCGUUUGGGACGUAUUAUUUUGGUCGGUGUAUGUACAGUGAAUAAGCAGACCCCGGCUCGAUGCAUACACUGAUUAUUCAGCAAAGAGCACAAGGAACACAAGUGUUUGGGUCAAAUGAUUGGAUUCUGGAAAAAGAUGACUUUUUAUACCAAUCCAAGUUUUUGAAUGAAACGAAGAAAGAUUGGAUUCUGCAAAUUAUGAUUGUGCAACAAUUUAUCAUUGCAAAUUAGACGAGAAGGACUCCAAUCUUCAUACCAAUUUCAUACCAAUCAGAGGACUUCAUACCAAUCAGAGUUUUUGGAUAAUCUUAUCUAGCAGCAUUUUAGAAAUUCCUAUCUAUGGAGCAAAUUCUUAUCUAUGGGAACAAUACGAUUCUUUUCGUAUUGUUCAGAGGUUGGAUUUCAAGACUGGACUUUGAAAAUUAUUAAGAGCAAUUAUUAACGGCAAUUAUGGAAGAAAAAAUCGUAUCCGUGCCUUCCUGGUUUUUGCCCAAAUUUGUUAUUCCAAAAUUAUGGGUAUACUGUAUUCGAGGGAGCGAGCACGACGACAAGCGAAACGGAUAGAGACGGACAGAGAACGCGUUCGAGGAGGAAUACGAGGGUUCUCCCUUGUGUAGUGGGGUUUCGCAGACCUCUCCCCGAACCCACCAGCCGGUCGGACACAUCGAAUUAUCUCUGAAAAAAUGUGUAUGUGCCGCCGCGCCGAUAUACAAGCGCGCGCGCCGAUUAAUUAUUAAUACCGUCUAAAACUCGAGAGAAUAAUAUAAAUGUCAUCGCGGAAUGAUCGUUCGUGACAAGCGGUUUUUUCACUACUUUACUUUUUGUGCAUAGUUUUUCGCAAUUUUACUCCUUUAUAACAUAAUUUAUUUAAUAUAAGGAUCCUUAUAUUAAAUAAAUUAUGAUAUAAAGGAGUAGAAUUAUUCCUCGAGGAAUAAGUGAGAAUAUUUUAUUAGGAUUUAUCGAGGAAUCAAGAUAUCUCGUUUCUCAUAUCAACUUUUUGAAAUUAAUUUUUUUCUCCUGGUUUGAUUUUUUUAUCUUUA